GAUGAACGCUGGCGGCGUGCCUAAUACAUGCAAGUCGAGCGAACAGACGAGGAGCUUGCUCCUCUGACGUUAGCGGCGGACGGGUGAGUAACACGUGGAUAACCUACCUAUAAGACUGGGAUAACUUCGGGAAACCGGAGCUAAUACCGGAUAAUAUAUUGAACCGCAUGGUUCAAUAGUGAAAGACGGUGUUGCUGUAACUUAUAGAUGGAUCCGCGCCGCAUUAGCUAGUUGUUAAGGUACCGGCUUACCAAGGCAACGAUGCGUAGCCGACAUGAGAGGGUGAUCGGCCACACUGGAACUGAGACACGGUCCAGACGCCUACGGGAGGCAGCAGUAGGGAAUCUUCCGCAAGGGGCGAGAGCCUGACGGAGCAACGCCGCGUGAGUGAUGAAGGUCUUCGGAUCGUAAAACUCUGUUAUUAGGGAAGAACAAAUGUGUAAGUAACUAUGCGCGUCUUGACGGUACCUGAGCAGAAAGCCACGGCUAACUACGUG
rnacentral:rRNA from 1 species